rnacentral:rRNA from 1 species
UACGUAGGGGGCAAGCGUUGUCCGGAUUUAUUGGGCGUAAAGAGCGUGUAGGCGGCCUGGUAGGUCAGCUGUGAAAACUCGAGGCUCAACCUCGAGACGCCGGUUGAAACCAUCAGGCUAGAGUCCGGAAGAGGAGAGUGGAAUUCCCGGUGUAGCGGUGAAAUGCGCAGAUAUCGGGAAGAACACCCGUGGCUAAGGCGGUUCUCUAGUACGGUACUGACGCUGAGACGCGAAAGCGUGGGGAGCGAACAGG